GAUGAACGCUGACAGAAUGCUUAACACAUGCCAGUCAACUUGAAUUUGGGUUUUUUAACUUCGAUUUGGGUGGCGGACGGGUGAGUAACGCGUAAAGAACUUGCCUCACAGCUAGGGACAACAUUUGGAAACGAAUGCUAAUACCUGAUAUUAUGAUUAUAAGGCAUCUUAGAAUUAUGAAAGCUAUAUGCGCUGUGAGAGAGCUUUGCGUCCCAUUAGCUAGUUGGAGAGGUAACGGCUCACCAAGGCGAUGAUGGGUAGCCGGCCUGAGAGGGUGAACGGCCACAAGGGGACUGAGACACGGCCCUUACUCCUACGGGAGGCAGCAGUGGGGAAUAUUGGACAAUGGACCAAGAGUCUGAUCCAGCAAUUCUGUGUGCACGAUGACGUUUUUCGGAAUGUAAAGUGCUUUCAGUUGGGAAGAAAAAAAUGACGGUACCAACAGAAGAAGUGACGGCUAAAUACGUG
rnacentral:rRNA from 1 species